UUCUGUUAUAAAAUCUUACAUGAUCAUAAAAUUUUAAACAACGUGGAACUAAUGAAGUGCACAGAUUCAAGUUUUCUCUUUAUUCCCUUGUCCUCAAACCACUUUGUAAAAGAAAAUCAUGGCAGAUGCCUCCUUAUCUUGGAAGCAGACACCCUGGAGUCAAACACAUUCCGAUCACUGGAGUUGACUACAAGAGAUCUAGUUCUUUGCCUACUAAGAACGGAAAAGACUUUCAUCACUAGUGGUUAGUAGAGGAGACAACCCGCCUGCUUUGGAAUCUUGACUCCAUUCCUGUCUGGCUAUGAGACCUUGGCUGGUUUCGUCACUUGGAAGCCAGGGAACAAGUUUGGAAAGAAACCUCUCACCAGGUCUCUGUUAUUAAAGCAGAAAACUACCACCUUCUCCAUUGGAGAGACUGGACUGUUGGACUCAAGAGCCAUAUUACUUCAUUCUUUUUUUUCCUGGGACAUUCACAAAUGACAACAGAUGGAUUCAAAUUGGCCGCUGGGCCAAAGAAGGGAAGAGGAAUUUACUCGGAUUCACUCCACUUCUUGCACAAUCCCUCCCUGACUUACGAACCGAAUCGGUUAAGCAGACCUAAGUUAAGUACUUAUUACUACUUGCUCCCUACUCUGUGCAGGGCACAGUGUUGAGUUAACUAUAGAAACAGUGAUGUGCAAUAAAAAGUUUCAGCCUACAAAGAGUUUGCUCCCUGGUUAAAGAGUCAGGCAU